rnacentral:lncRNA from 1 species
GAUGCAGAUAAAUGAAAUUGUAGCCAUGUUUAAAAAAAAAAAAAAUUCUAGCCACAGGAGAAAAUUAAACAGAGUAAACAAAUGCUAACUGGGUGUGUCGAAUGGAUAUUCGCAGGUCUAGAUAACACAAUUGAAAGAUUAGAGUUGAUUCAUAAGGAUGUUUCUGUAAUUUACAAAGAUUUGGGCUGAUUUGAAAAUAAUCAGAAAUGUGAGGGACCUAAAAUGCAAAUACGGAGAAGCCAGCCAUAGUAAUGGAUCGAGCUUUCUCUUCGCUGUAUCUGGAGUUGAUGUUGCCGGCGGCCAUGACAAUUAAGGCCACGAUGGAGAAACAGAGCAGAGACACGAAAUAGAGAGGUCGUGGACUUCAGACGCGUCACGCAACAAAGAGGCAGAGAUGAAGAGUACUGGAGGGCAUGGAGGAAGAGCCACGGUGGGUAAGAGAGCACGGUCGCAGAGCACAGUGAUUUAACGGAGCACCGGAGUUGCGAUUUGGAGAAGAAGGAGCCAAUAGUUUAAUCAUUCAAUUUAAGUAGUUGGUUAAGAAUUAAAUAAAAUGACUGUGUAUUAGAUCAGUGGCAUAACAUCGUAAUUAUUGAGGAAAAC